AUGCACAAUGUUUUCUAUCGGAAGUUUCUUAUCUCUCGUCAUUUCAUCCUCUGUUUCAGCUUACUUCAUUUCAGAGGAAGCGCCCUUCGACUGCAAAGGUUUCAGCUUUAUUGUGGCGAGUUUCUUCUUGGUCAGUCCUCUUCCUCUCACGGUCAUUUCAGAGGAAGCGCCCUUUGACUGCAGGGAUUUGCCAUUGGUUCAGCUGCUCUUGUGUCUCUGGCACUUUUUGGUGCCUUCAUCAGCAGAGCUGGAGUGAAGGUUGUCCAUGUCCUCUCCCCCAAGGUUUUCAUUGGUUUGAUUGUUGGAGCCAUGCUUCCCUAUUGGUUCUCUGCCAUGACCAUGAAGAGUGUUGGAAGUGUCGCCCUAAAGAUGGUGGAGGAGGUCCGCAGACAGUUCAACACCAUUCCUGGGUUGAUGGAGGGAACUGCCAAGCCUGACUAUGCAACCUGUGUGAAGAUCUCCACUGAUGCUUCCAUCAAGGAGAUGAUUCCUCCUGGUGCUCUGGUCAUGCUCACUCCCCUCAUUGUUGGAACCCUCUUCGGUGUUGAGACUCUCUCUGGUGUUCUUGCUGGUGCCCUGGUUUCUGCAGGUAUUGCCAUCUUUGCUCCCAACAUCGGUGGUGCAUGGGACAAUGCUAAGAAGUACAUUGAGGCUGGUGCCAGCGAGCAUGCCAGGACCCUCGGCCCCAAGGGAUCUGACUGCCACAAGGCUGCUGUGAUAGGUGACACCAUUGGUGACCCCCUGAAGGACACCUUGGGCCCGUCCCUCAACAUCCUGAUCAAGCUUAUGGCGGUGGAGUCCCUUGUGUUUGCCCCCUUCUUCGCCACCCACGGCGGCCUGUUGUUCAAGUACCUGUAAGGGCCACAACAUCUCGAAUAACUCCUGCCAAAUCGCCAGUUCAUGUGUAUUGUGCGCUAGCCGCCUAGCUACACUGCUGUUUUUUUGGGUCUCAUUGUUCGUAUUUUCUCCUUGCCCGAUACUUAUGUAUAUAUGCCUCAUACAGUGCCCGAUAGGGCGCUGUCUUUUUCUAGUAUUUCAAACCAGCC